rnacentral:rRNA from 1 species
AGCGGAGGAAAAGAAACCAACAGGGAUUGCCUCAGUAACGGCGAGUGAAGCGGCAAGAGCUCAAAUUUGAAAGCUGGCCCCUUCGGGGUCCGCGUUGUAAUUUGCAGAGGAUGCUUCGGGUGCAGCCCCCGUCUAAGUGCCCUGGAACGGGCCGUCAUAGAGGGUGAGAAUCCCGUCUGGGACGGGGUGUCUGCGUCCGUGUGAAGCUCCUUCGACGAGUCGAGUUGUUUGGGAAUGCAGCUCUAAAUGGGUGGUAAAUUUCAUCUAAAGCUAAAUACUGGCCGGAGACCGAUAGCGCACAAGUAGAGUGAUCGAAAGAUGAAAAGCACUUUGAAAAGAGAGUUAAACAGCACGUGAAAUUGUUGAAAGGGAAGCGUUUGCGACCAGACUCGCCCGCGGGGUUCAGCCGGCAUUCGUGCCGGUGUACUUCCCCGUGGGCGGGCCAGCGUCGGUUUGGGCGGCCGGUCAAAGGCCCUCGGAAUGUAUCACCUCUCGGGGUGUCUUAUAGCCGAGGGUGCAAUGCGGCCUGCCUGGACCGAGGAACGCGCUUCGGCUCGGACGCUGGCGUAAU